UAUGACACUUAAGCUAAUCUGAACCAAUUUAGAACUAUAGGAUUCAGUUUAGAUAAGUGGAAUAGU
rnacentral:pre_miRNA from 1 species